GGAGUCGGCCGGGUGGCCGCGGCGUAGGGCUUGCUCUGCGUCGAGGAAAGUCCGGGCUCCACAGGGCAGGACGCUGGGUAAAGGCCCAGGCGGGGCGACCCGUGGAAAGUGCAACAGAGAGCAGACCGCCUAAGCGGUUCUCGUCGGUCAACCGACGAGUUCCGCCGGCAAGGCUGAAAGGGUGAGGUAAGAGCUCACCAGCGUGCCGGGUGACCGGUGCGGCUAGGUAAACC
rnacentral:RNase_P_RNA from 1 species